rnacentral:rRNA from 1 species
UGAUGAAGGUUUUCGGAUCGUAAAGCUCUGUUGUUAGGGAAGAACAAGUACCGUUCGAAUAGGGCCAGACCUUGACGGUACCUAACCAGAAAGCCACGGCUAACUACGUGCCAGCAGCCGCGGUAAUACGUAGGUGGCAAGCGUUGUCCGGAAUUAUUGGGCGUAAAGGGCUCGCAGGCGGUUUCUUAAGUCUGAUGUGAAAGCCCCCGGCUCAACCGGGGAGGGUCAUUGGAAACUGGGGAACUUGAGUGCAGAAGAGGAGAGUGGAAUUCCACGUGUAGCGGUGAAAUGCGUAGAGAUGUGGAGGAACACCAGUGGCGAAGGCGACUCUCUGGUCUGUAACUGACGCUGAGGAGCGAAAGCGUGGGGAGCGAACAGGAUUAGAUACCCUGGUAGUCCACGCCGUAAACGAUGAGUGCUAAGUGUUAGGGGGUUUCCGCCCCUUAGUGCUGCAGCUAACGCAUUAAGCACUCCGCCUGGGGAGUACGGUCGCAAGACUGAAACUCAAAGGAAUUGACGGGGGCCCGCACAAGCGGUGGAGCAUGUGGUUUAAUUCGAAGCAACGCGAAGAACCUUACCAGGUCUUGACAUCCUCUGACAAUCCUAGAGAUAGGACGUCCCCUUCGGGGGCAGAGUGACAGGUGGUGCAUGGUUGUCGUCAGCUCGUGUCGUGAGAUGUUGGGUUAAGUCCCGCAACGAGCGCAACCCUUGAUCUUAGUUGCCAGCAUUCAGUUGGGCACUCUAAGGUGACUGCCGGUGACAAACCGGAGGAAGGUGGGGAUGACGUCAAAUCAUCAUGCCCCUUAUGACCUGGGCUACACACGUGCUACAAUGGACAGAACAAAGGGCAGCGAAACCGCGAGGUUAAGCCAAUCCCACAAAUCUGUUCUCAGUUCGGAUCGCAGUCUGCAACUCGACUGCGUGAAGCUGGAAUCGCUAGUAAUCGCGGAUCAG